rnacentral:lncRNA from 1 species
ACAUACAAAAUGAACUGCCCAAGCGCAAAAGGACUUCCGGGGUGCACUAUUUAUCCCCAUGGCUCCCUGCAUGGGGCUAGCUUGGAAAUGCCAUUCGUGCACUGUUGACUACAUUCGUCCAUCCAUCGCUUCGUUCAUUCAACAAGCCCAUGAAGCCACAGGGACAAAUUCACGGGUAAAUAUAGCAAUGAUACAACUAAGUGCUGGACCGGCCUGAACAAGCCGUUGGAUUUAAGGAAUCUGCAGAGCACAAUGACUGGA